UGGGGAAUUUUGGACAAUGGGGGCAACCCUGAUCCAGCCAUGCCGCGUGAGUGAUGAAGGCCUUCGGGUUGUAAAGCUCUUUUGGCGGGGACGAUGAUGACGGUACCCGCAGAAUAAGCCCCGGCUAACUUCGUGCCAGCAGCCGCGGUAAGACGAAGGGGGCUAGCGUUGUUCGGAAUUACUGGGCGUAAAGCGAGUGUAGGCGGUUGCCGUAGUCAGGUGUGAAAGCCUUGAGCUCAACUCAAGAAAUGCACUUGAUACUGGGUGACUAGAGGACCGGAGAGGAUAGUGGAAUUCCCAGUGUAGUGGUGAAAUACGUAGAGAUUGGGAAGAACACCAGUGGCGAAGGCGGCUAUCUGGACGGUUACUGACGCUAAGACUCGAAAGCGUGGGGAGCAAACAGGAUUAGAUACCCUGGUAGUCCACGCCGUAAACGAUGGGUGCUAGACGUUGGCGAGCUUGCUCGUCAGUGUCGCAGCUAACGCGUUAAGCACCCCGCCUGGGGGAGUACGGCCGCAAGGUUGAAACUCAAAAUGAAUUGACGGGGGUCAUAGCUGUUUUCCU
rnacentral:rRNA from 1 species